UACGGGGGGAGCAAGCGUUGUUCGGAUUUACUGGGCGUAAAGGGCGCGUAGGCGGUCGUGACAAGUCACUUGUGAAAUCUCCGGGCUUAACUCGGAACGGUCAAGUGAUACUGUCGGACUAGAGUACAGAAGGGGCAACUGGAAUUCUCGGUGUAGCGGUGAAAUGCGCAGAUAUCAGGAGGAACACCAAGUGCGAAGGCAGCUCGCUGGGACGUAACUGACGCUGAGACGCGAAAGCGUGGGGAGCAAACAGG
rnacentral:rRNA from 1 species